UGCACUGAAAGAGAACGUUGUAUCUUUGCAGAACAUGCAAAAAGUGUUAAAAAGGAUUCAAAUUUGGAAAUUUUAAUUUGGAAGACGACGACGAUUGUUCAGGUCAAAUUGAAUCGUUCGAUGAAAAUCCGACCUAGACGCGAGAAGAAUCUGUCCUACCGAAACGAUCAUCGGGCCUAAUAUUUUCACGAUCUGAAAAAUUGGAAUCGUACAACGGGAAACGAUUUUAAUCAAAGCGAUUCCUUUCUUCGUGAAAACGGACGAUCCUCUGGCCGAAAGAAGAAACCAGGGAGAAGAAGCAGUGGAGGAGGUGGCGUGAAGUAGAACGAAUUUCUGGCCACGAACGGGACACGGGGAAGAACAAUGAGUUGCAUUAACGCUCGAAAACUCGCAAGGAGGGGGGAAACUCGGCGCGAUCAAUCUGGAAGCGGGAGAUGCGACGUCUCGAGAUGCUACGGGACACUUUGUUAAUUCGAUUCGAGGCUGGAAAGGUUGGAAAUCGCGAGGAAGACGCAGGGUGAGGAGGGGAGGGGAGGGUUGGCGCGCCAACUAUCUCGGAUCUAAGGUUGCCGCGACGAGGUAUUUCACGGACUUUUCGCCACCGUUUCGAGAUUGAAUUUAAAGCAUCCCCGAUAACCUCGUUACCUCGACAAUCGGCGCAUUUCCUCCUCCAUCCCCCUUGUUUCGUUCCUCGCAUCCGUCGAUUUUACUCCCGCUGCUCUCUUUUCAUUCGAUUCCACGAACAGAUAUAGCGAUUUUUGCGAUGCUGUGUGUUUUUUUCGUUUGGAAAAUUUGAUUCGUUGUUAUUGGAUUUGUAAUUAUGGAUAAAUACAGAGGCGAGAUAAAUCGAUAUUGUUUUUUUUUUUUUCGAAAAUAGAUAUAUUCAUCAGUUAAUCUUAAAAUUGAAUCGGAUCCUAUUAAAAUUAGAAAAAUUUUGAAAUAACUUGCAGUUAGAAACGAGGAAUCUUUUAAAGUCGAUUUAUCUCGAUAAGAAUUUCAGUUCAAGAUUUAUAUUCG